AGUGAACGCUGGCGGUAGGCCUAACACAUGCAAGUCGAACGGCAGCACAGUAAGAGUUUGCUCUUACGGGUGGCGAGUGGCGGACGGGUGAGGAAUACAUCGGUAUCUACUUUUUCGUGGGGGAUAACGUAGGGAAACUUACGCUAAUACCGCAUACGACCUACGGGUGAAAGCAGGGGAUCUUCGGACCUUGCGCGAUUGAAUGAGCCGAUGUCGGAUUAGCUAGUUGGCGGGGUAAAGGCCCACCAAGGCGACGAUCCGUAGCUGGUCUGAGAGGAUGAUCAGCCACACUGGAACUGAGACACGGUCCAGACUCCUACGGGAGGCAGCAGUGGGGAAUAUUGGACAAUGGGCGCAAGCCUGAUCCAGCCAUACCGCGUGGGUGAAGAAGGACUUCGGGUUGUAAAGCCCUUUUGUUGGGAAAGAAAAGCAGCAGGUUAAUACCCCGCUGUUCUGACGGUACCCAAAGAAUAAGCACCGGCUAACUUCGUG
rnacentral:rRNA from 1 species